GGGAUGCUAGUCCAAAAAAAGACAGUUGAUUUCGACUCAACUAAUUAUGGUUCAAACCCAUAGCACCCCU
rnacentral:tRNA from 1 species